ensembl:snRNA
GUGUUGUAUGAAAGGAAAAGAUGGGUACUCCCCUUGACAAGGAUGGAUGAGGCCCUCGGGCCUGACAACAAGCAUACAUAAGGUCACUGCCACCUACUCUGUGGCAUCUAACUAUAGUUUGUUUU